UACGUAGGUGGCAAGCGUUGUCCGGAAUUACUGGGUGUAAAGCGCGCGUAGGCGGGUCAGCAAGUCCGCUGUGAAAGCCCGAGGCUCAACCUCGGCGGGUCGGUGGAUACUGUUGGUCUUGAAGGUGCUAGGGGGAGAUGGAAUUACCGGUGUAGCGGUGAAAUGCGUAGAUAUCGGUAGGAACACCAGUGGCGAAGGCGGUCUCCUGGGGCAUUCUUGACGCUGAGGCGCGAAAGCUGGGGGAGCGAACGGG
rnacentral:rRNA from 1 species